ACGGUUUCGGCCGUCACUUACAGAUGGACCCGCGGCGCAUUAGCUAGUUGGUGAGGUAACGGCUCACCAAGCGACGAUGCGUAGCCGACCUGAGAGGGUGAUCGGCCACACUGGGACUGAGACACGGCCCAGACUCCUACGGGAGGCAGCAGUAGGGAAUCUUCCGCAAUGGACGAAAGUCUGACGGAGCAACGCCGCGUGAGUGAUGAAGGUUUUCGGAUCGUAAAGCUCUGUUGUUAGGGAAGAACAAGUGCAAGAGUAACUGCUUGCACCUUGACGGUACCUAACCAGAAAGCCACGGCUAACUACGUGCCAGCAGCC
rnacentral:rRNA from 1 species